AUUUAAAUCUUCUAAAUCUUUGCUUUUAGAGUUAUUAUGUCAUUACCUUAUAAGCAAAAAUAUUAAU
rnacentral:sRNA from 1 species